GACUCGGUGGCGGAUGGUCCGCGUCUGCGCCUACUGUGUAGGCAGCUCUGGCAUAUUUCAGCAGAAGGCGCCUGUUCGAAUCAGGUUCGAGUCA